rnacentral:tRNA from 7 species
GGGCGAUUAGCUCAGCGGGAGAGCACUCCCUUCACACGGGAGGGGUCGCAAGUUCAAUCCUUGCAUCGCCCACCA